rnacentral:lncRNA from 1 species
CAAUCACAACUAGUGGAUAAACACUGCUCACAAUAUGCUGACAAAUAGUGGAAUCUAGAAGAAGACCAGAGGAAAAUCUGUGAGACAUUUGAGAAGAGCCAGCGAUGGGGGAAUUAUUAAGCAAGGACACAAUGAUAACAAUGAUAAUAAUAGACAGUAGUCAUGAAUGUGAGAGAGAAGAAUUCCAACGGCAAAAAUUGAAUAAAAAAUUUGUUCCAGAAGAGAAGCCCACUCAUAUCAUACACACUGCAUGGAACCAAUGAGGUUUGCAACUGAAAGAGCAAAGCAGAACUUCUUAGCUAAAAGAUAAAUGUUUUGUGAGAUUUUAAUAAUAUUUUAAAAUUUAAUGGUAUAUUGAUCCUCAAUAGUUUCUUUGGUUCAAAGAUCAUUCUUAUAAUAACAAAAUGAAAAGGAAAAACUCCUUUCACCAUUUG